AUUUAUUCUGGAUGUCCUCCUGGUUCUCUCCAGUGAACAUGAGUCUCCUAGUGAAAACUGGGGGUUAGGUGUAGAUCAUUAGGAGCCUCUCCAUAUAAAAGGGAAAUGGCUACCACUGUUUUAGGUAUUCUGGGAUUACCCUCAUCUGAGCUGCUGCUUGAAGUCUUCUGCUUGGUGUAACUCCUGAAGCAGAUGGGGAGGGAGGUUCCUAAUUGAGAUGUAGCUGCAGAAGAUUUUGAAAUCAUCUACUUCUUCUGCUGGAGCCAACUAUUAAAAAACUUGACAA